rnacentral:miRNA from 1 species
CAGCAGUGAUGAUAAUGC